AACCCAGACUCCUACGGGAGGCAGCAGUGGGGAAUAUUGCACAAUGGGGGAAACCCUGGUACAGCGACGCCGCGUGAGUGAAGAAGUAAUUCGUUAUGUAAAGCUCUAUCAGCAGGGAAGAAAAUGACGGUACCUGAGUAAGAAGCCCCGGCUAACUACGUGCCGGCAGCCGCGGUAAUACGUAGGGGGCAAGCGUUAUCCGGAUUUACUGGGUGUAAAGGGAGCGCAGACGGCGAUGCAAGCCAGGAGUGAAAGCCCGGGGCCCAACCCCGGGACUGCUCUUGGAACUGCGUGGCUGGAGUGCAGGAGGGGCAGGCGGAAUUCCUGGUGUAGCGGUGAAAUGCGUAGAUAUCAGGAGGAACACCGGUGGCGAAGGCGGCCUGCUGGACUGCAACUGACGUUGAGGCCCGAAAGCGUGGGGAGCAAACAGGAUUAGAUACCCCAGUAC
rnacentral:rRNA from 1 species